AGCUGUGCCCGGAGGACUUGGCUCAAAGAUGACUCUGGUGGUUUAAAUAAGAUGUGUCACCCCUAUCUGCCCCCCAACUUCCCCACCCCCAACACACACACACACACACACACACACACACGCCAUAGGCUCUAGUAUUUGAAUACUUGGUCCCCAGUUGGUAGAGCUGUUUGAAGACGUUCAGGAAGUAUGGUCUCACUUCGGGGAAGUAAGCCAUUAGGGGUGGGCUUUGAGGGUUUAAAACCUUACUUAUGUCCACUCGGCUCUCCGACUCCUGUUUUUGAAUGAUGAUGUAAGCUCUCCGUUCCUGCUCCACAUGCCUACUGCUUGCUGCCAUGGCUUUCCACCGUGACGUGACGGACUCUUGCCCUCUGGAACCGAAAGCCAAAAUCAACUCUCUCUUGGUCCCCAUCUGGCAGUUCUUGGGGGACUUGCUGGAAGAAGCUGUCAUCCAGGAGAUGGCCUUUGGAAAUUACACCUUGGUCCUUGGCUCUGCCCUGUUCUCCUCCCUGGUCCAAUGCAAUGUCGGGGAACUUGAACCACACACUCCCACCGUCACAGACCAAGCUGUACGUCUUGCCCAUCCCUGCCAUGGAGGACAGAAGCCUCUGAGAUCAUGAGUCACAUGACUAACACAGAUGCACCAUUCCAUUCUGGGAAAGGACAGGGUCUCAUUACGCAGCUCUGGCUGGCUUGGAGCUCACUCUGUGCAUGUGAAUGUAUUCAAACUCAUAGAGACCCACCUGCUUCUGCAUCUGGAGUGCUGAAAUUAAUGACAUGUACCAACAUGCCUGGCUAAGAAGACAUCCUUUAAUCUCAAGGAGGAGCCACCCGGACAGCUACGUGGUGGAGAGAAAGCCUGGGGAUGCCACGCUGUGUGACUGGGUCCAGUCCCGUGGUCAGUCAAGGAGUUGGUUGCAGCCUUCGAGGCCUGCCUUCAGUGCAGCCUCCCAGUGAGGCCUGCCGCUUGUCUGGGCCUUAAGUCCCUCCCUGGCCUCCUCUUUGGUGAGGUUUCUGAGUCCCCCUAGACAUUGACCGUUUCUGCUUCUCAUGAGCAAAGACAUCUUGCAGGUACCUGCUGGAACCUGCCACAUCAGAUCCCACCUGCUUCUGUGUUCCCAGGUCUUCUGGGAAAGAUGAGGUAGAAUCUCUGAUGUUCCCAGUAAGGUAGAUAAGCUACCUUCCAGGGGGCAGCAUCUAUACGGCUGCCACUGUUGUGUGGUUCCAGGUAAAUGCCAAGAUCUUUGUGCCCCAGCUGACCGGUCAGCCCCAUUCACAAGGGCAAGCUUCCCUUAGGCAAGGAGAAACGAAGAUGAGUGGCAGAGAGGGGGAGGGGCCACUGAGCCAUCUCCAAGGCUCCUUCCAGGUCUGUGAUUCUAGGAUUA
rnacentral:lncRNA from 1 species